AACAUUUUAUCUCCUCUGAGGCCUCCUGGACCGCAGACCUGCUGGUGGAUUUCAGCUUCAAAAUACCCUCUAAAAAUCCAAGAGUCGGCAGGACGGACCCGUGCCAGGGCACCCAGAGGACAUCCUUCCAGCUUGCUUUCCAAACGGAAGGCUCUUAGUUGGUGCCACGCUUCUCGAAAUCCAGGAGAGCAGACAUGUGUCCCUGGAUGCCACGUUUGCUUCCAACAUGCUACUCGUUUUCCCCGUAGAAGAGACGCCUGCUGCCAUGUCAUUCCCCAUGGAGACGCUUGGCCCGAGUAUUUUAUCCAUUUAUCAAGCCAGAUCAUCAACCAAACCAUCUCACCGCCCGAUCUGUUCUUACGCACCCCCACCACCACCACAGCUAUCAGCCCAAGCCAUGGAAGUGAAAACUGCUCUCUGCCUCCCAGUUUGCAAUAUCUCUGGCACGAUGGGGUACUCAGCUUCCCUGUCUCUACUUUCCCAGUGCAGAUGCCUGUAGGAGAAGAAAGGAGCAUAUCAGGACUUAAAGCAUCUCUAGGAAAUAAUUGUGGCUGUGUAAACGCUGUGAUUUAGAGCUUUGGCAUUGCUGUUAAGCUGCGCCAGGAUGUGGGUAUAUAAUAUCCUGAAUAAUCCCAGGUGGUGAAGCAAGUCUGCAGAGAAGUUCCCUAAAUGGGUAUCUAUCAAAACUGGAAAUGGAAAUGGAAGAUCAUUGUCUGCCUCAAAACCUGGCUUCCAUUCAAACAUUUUUAAAGUUGAAAGUCUUCAUCCUUUCAGCUGUUCUGAUGGAGGAACUCUGCACCAAGAGUCUUACCUGACACUUCAAAAUGUUUAGAUAUAUUAAAGUGACCAYUGUCAAUUCAAUCAUUUGCUGUUUGCAUUAGUGCGUUAACAUCUAAUUUACCAGCGGCUCAGCUUUAUCUCUUACUUUAAGUAUAACCCAACUUUAUAUAUCCCCACUCAAUAACACUUCAUCAAAUGCCUUCACAAUCGCUUUUUUUUUUGCCUUCUGCAAGACAAUGCUGCUGCUUCGUCAUAACCUUUGUCAUAAACUGUUUCCAUUAUUUGUGAAUGCUGCUUUUGUAUUGCUGUGCUUCAGAUGCGGCAUAGUUAAUGAUGUCUUUUGUGAUGGUAUGCAUUUUUGUGCUAAACAGCUUUUUCUUUUAAUGUAUCUUUACAUUUACUGCAGUAUGUGCCAAUUGCUUAUCCAUAUACCGUGUUUAUGCUUUGUCAGAUUGACUCCAGCUUCCUCCCUUGUUCACUGACACAAACACAUUUUUUCACUAGUCCAGCACUUUCCCACUGUUCUUCACGACAUAAUGGUCAGUGCCAACAGUCUUGUUUCUGAUUACAGAUCAUAAAUAAUUCAAUCUCUAAUUAGUCUUAAUGCACUUCUUAAAUGCACAUGGGUUAGUUUUAAAAUGUCACUCUGCAAUGUAAUGGUCAAUUUUUUUAGCUAUGCUCUGCUUUUGUGUAAAGAAAAUGUAUUCCUGAACUUUUUUGGUUUUGUCAAGCAAUUUGCAGUCUUCAUUAUAUUCUCUCUGGAAUAAUUGGAAGAGCUUCAGUGCAGCUAGAAUUGCUUCGUGUUCUUUCUAUAAUAUACUUGCUCUUUAUCUGAUAGUACUUUAACGUAUCUCAGUAACUUUGGGGAAUUCUGCAGACACCUUCUCCAGAUUCCCUUCCAUGGGGAAUUCUGAUACAUCAUGUUUAUCAUGAUUUUUAAUACCAUACAAUAAAGGUCUGAUACAGAAAAGUAUUUUUCA
ensembl:lncRNA